AGCGAACGUUAGCGGCGGGCCUAACACAUGCAAGUCGAGCGAGAAAGGGGCUUCGGCCCUGAGUAAAGCGGCGGACGGGUGAGUAACACGUAGGUAAUCUUCCUUCGAGCGGGGGACAACGGUCCGAAAGGACCGCUAAUACCGCGUACGUUCCCGAGGACCCUGGUCCUUGGGAGGAAAGCUAGGUCGCAAGAUCCGGCACUCGGCGAGGAGCCCGCGUCGCAUCAGCUAGUUGGUGGGGUAAUGGCCUACCAAGGCGAAGACGCGUAGCUGGUCUGAGAGGAUGAUCAGCCACACUGGGACUGAGACACGGCCCAGACUCCUACGGGAGGCAGCAGUGGGGAAUAUUGGACAAUGGGCGCAAGCCUGAUCCAGCCACGCCGCGUGAGUGAUGAAGGCCUUCGGGUCGUAAAGCUCUGUGGGGAGGGACGAACCGCUGCACGUGCAUAGCGUGCAGCAUGACGGUACCUCCUUAGCAAGCACCGGCUAACUUCGUGCCAGCCGCCGCAGUAA
rnacentral:rRNA from 1 species